GAGGAGCCUGCGGCGGAUUAGCUAGUUGGUAGGGUAACGGCCUACCAAGGCGACGAUCCGUAGCCGGCCUGAGAGGGCGGUCGGCCACACUGACACUGACAUACGGGUCAGACUCCUACGGGAGGCAGCAGUGGGGAAUUGUUCGCAAUGGGCGCAAGCCUGACGACGCAACGCCGCGUGGAGGAUGAAGAUCUUCGGGUCGUAAACUCCUUUCGAUCGAGACGAACGGCCUCCGGGCUAACACCCUGGAGGAGUGACGGUACCGAGAGAAGAAGCCCCGGCUAACUCCGUGCCAGCAGCCGCGGUAAUACGGGGGGGGCAAGCGUUGUUCGGAAUUACUGGGCGUAAAGGGCUCGUAGGCGGCCAACUAAGUCAGACGUGAAAUCCCUCGGCUUAACCGGGGAACUGCAUCUGAUACUGGAUGGCUCGAGUUUGGGAGAGGGAUGCGGAAUUCCAGGUGUAGCGGUGAAAUGCGUAGAUAUCUGGAGG
rnacentral:rRNA from 1 species